UUGCGACCAUAUCACAUUGUAUCACCGUUUCUCGUGCGAUCACCGAAGUUAAGCAACGUCGAACCUGGUCAGUACCUAGAUGGGUGACCGCUUCUGGAUACCAGGUGUUGUAAG